rnacentral:misc_RNA from 1 species
CUCCAGUCGGAGUUGACAUAUCCUGUUAGAUCUUCACUAAUAUUUCUGAAUCAUGGACCAAUGUUAGACAUUCCCAUUAACAAUAACAUAAGACCAAUUUGACAGAUAACCAAUGAAUCUUCUUUGGGUUGUUAUUAAAACAAAUUAAUGGCAGAAAUACAUUAAUGAUCCUAUCAGAGACUGAUGGAUGUUCAAAUCAAUUUCAGGUGAGUUGUAAUAUUUGCUUGAAUAUAUUUUUCAUCGUUCUUUUCAAAUAUUGUAGCCAUUUGGUUUGUAAAUACGAACCUUUUUCCAGUCACUGCAACUUUUGAUACCGAAAUCAAAUUUGCUUUUAAUACUGGUACAUGCAAUGUGUUUUCCAAUCAAAACUUCCACAGAUUGUUUUUUAUACAGUUAAAUAAUACUGCAGUACCUUUGAUUUUAGCUGGCUUGCCAUUGGCUGAUUUUAGCUGGCUUGUCAUUCGUUGAUUUCACGUUUUGAUUUUUGAUUGGCUGUAUGGAUUCAAAACGGCUUAUGUCAUAGCAUAUAUGUGAUGUAGCAUCAUUGCCAAUGCACCAUUCCAAUAGUGGUUCCCUGUUUAUAUUCAAUGAAACAUGAUAAUAAACAGUGAUAAUACUAUCCUGAUUAUCUUCAUACUGAAUAUUGGAAACACGUAAGCAUUGUUCAGUUUUGGAUAUUCCAGUAACCUGUGCUAGUUCAGCUUUAUGAUUAUCCCUUUUCUUCUUCAAGCUUUGAUGUGCCCUAUAUCCAUGAUUGUGGCAGUAAAAACAUUCAAUGUGUUUUACUUCAUUAGUUUUAAUAAACCCAUUUUUAUCUGAAGAUUUUCUAUUUUUGUCAUACCUCGUGUGUUUAUUUGGAUCUUCCUGUUGUUAUUUUUACAUUCAGAGAUAGGAUCACAAUAGUUAUUAG